CUGGGUUUGUAACAAUUUAGGGUGGGUGAUUUUGGGAGGACAGAUGACGCACGUUUUGAGGAUUAAAAAAAAAAAAACUCGAGACUUUUUAUAUUUAGGUAACCGAAGUCUUGACUUUUGAUAAAGAAACCACUCUAAAAAGCACUAAUACGAGAGCUGGUAAGUUUUGGCAUAUCAGGUAGCUUUUACUUUCAGGGGGCAGGUUUAAGUCGGUGUCAAGUGGGUAUCAGUGAACAGGUAGAAUGCUAAUGUUUUUUCCCCUCCAUUUACAAUUUUACACCAGGGAUGUGAACAGGACAGAUUCGAUGUGGUUAACAAAAAAAAUCAAAAUCAAAUCCGAAAUCCAUGACCGCUCUCUGAAAUUGAAAUCUAAACUGAAACUGAAUGGUUUUUGGAAUAACCGCCACCAAAAAAAACCACAAAAUCAAAACCGAAACUAAAAAAUUGAAAACUAUUUAACAUUUUUUAUUAAAUUCAAAAUUUUUAUGUAUAAAUAUCCAAAUUAAAGAUAUUAUUUAUAAAUUUCAUAUAAUUUAUACCAACUCAACUAAUAAAUAUGUCCAAAGAUAAUAACACAAUCAUCCAGUAUGCUCAUUAAUUCUAAAAUAAUAACACAACCAUCCAACAAACUCAAUAGUUCUAAAAUAAUAAUGCAACUAUCCAACAAAUACAAUAAUCCAAGUUAAAAACAAAUCCAACUACAUUAAAAAAAUAAGCACAACAAACACAAUAAUCGCGAAGAAGAACCAAAGAGGGGGAAAAGUAGUCUAUCUAGCCUUUAGGAUUUGUCCAUUUAGUUAUUUGCUCAUGGUUUAUGAGCGAUCCAGAUUGAAUGGGAUAGAGGGUUAGAAUUUAUACUAAAUAUAAAAGGUACUAAGAGAUAGCCAUUAUGUUUGGUUUUGGGUAUGGUUUCGGGUUCGGUGUAGGGUUUGGUUUUGGGUCGGGUUUGACUCGGAGAAUUCAUCAAAAUCAAAACCGAAACCAAACAGAUUUGAUUUUUAAAACCAUCAUUGAAACCAUUCCUAUUUAACUUUGGUUAAAACUGCCUCAUUCAGUUCGGGGAUGGAUAAAAUAUUCGGGUAUCUGUCCUAGUUGACUUCCCUAAUUUAUACUCAAGAGAUAUGUUUUUUUUCGAUCUGUGUUCUUUAACUUAUGGCUUGCAGAAUGUAUACUUCUGUGAGUUAGUCUUUUAUGCAGUUAUGCCCCUUUGUUUGAAUGUCCUUAAUCAACUUAGAAAAAUGACUUUAGAUGCAAAAAGGCUAACAUACCAUUUUAAGUUUGCAUUAAAACCCUUCUCAAUUCAUGUUGGAUUAUGUUUUUAUCCAGCCAAGUUGUAGUUGACUGAAUGUGAGUAGAUGGGUGUAGAAGGUAGAGCGGUAUAGCUGCACAAAGAGUGUCGUGCAAAGGUAAACAUAUAAGUUGCAAGUAUUCAAGGGUAUGCACACAAAAAGACAUUUGUUUAGUGCUAUGUGAAUCAUAGUAGGACUAAGUUAUCUACUGAGAUAGUACCAUAAAAUUUCUUAAGCACCACUGAACUUUAUUUUGGAUUAUGCUACCCCUUGGCAAAGGGUGGGGGUUCGAUUCCAAAGGGUGACACCCUCCUUCCGAACCCCGUUACUUCGUAUUCCGAUUCCGCAAGUAUUAGACUCAAUCUGCCCGGGGGCCUGGCUUUCAGCUUAGAUUGAGGAGCAUGUGGAUAGAGGGUAGGAGGUGGGUUUAGAACCCCAACCGUUUGAAAAAAAAAGAGAAGAAAAAAAGCUACCCUUCAAAGUGGGCCCCACAUUUUCUAAUUCUAAAAAUGGUGUUUAUGCACGUGGUAUUACUAUUCUUCAGAUUUUUGAAAAGUUGAUUGACUUUUUUCAUAACUAAUGAUUCCCUGGAUUCUUGAAUAAUCAUUCAUGGUAUUAUUAUACUUCUGCGAGUUAGUCUUUUGUGCAGUUAUGCCCCUUUGUUUGAAUGUCGUUAAUGAAGUUAGAAAGAAAAUUGACUUUAGGUGCAAAAAGGCCAGCAUACCAUUCUAAGUUUCCAUUAAAGUCUUUCUAAAUUCACAUGUGUAGAGGUAAUUUUGCUAGUUUGGUUAUGUGUGUAUCCAGCCAAAUUGUAGCUGGCUGAAUGUCAGUAGAUGGGUGUAGAAGGUAGAGAGGUAUAGCUGCACAAAGAGUGUCUUGCAAAGAUAAACAUGUAAUUGCAAGUAUGUGAGGGUAUGCACACAAAAAGGCAUAUUUGUUCAGUGCUAUGUGAAUCAUAACAGGACUAAGUUAUCUACUAAGACAAUCCCAUAAAAUUUCUGAAGUACCACUGAACUUUCUUUUGGAAUAUACUACCCCUUGGCAAGGGGUGGGGGUUCGAUUCCGAAGGGUGACACCCUCCUUCCGAACCCUGUUACUUAGUAUCCCGAUUCUGCAAGUAUUAGACUCAAUCUGCCUGAGGAUCUGGCUUUCAGCUUAGUUGAGGGGCAUGUGGAUAUAGAGUAGGAGGUGGGGUUAGAAAACCACCCCCACUCGUAAAAAAAGGAAAAAAGUUACCCUUCAAAGUGGGCCCCACAUUUUUUAAUUCCGGAAGUGUUGUUGUUACCAUUUCGAUAGUGAGAACGUGUUGUUAUUCAAAGAAAAAAAGAUAGUGAGUGCGUACUCGGUAAGAAUGAAUAUAUGACACCCACCAUAAAAACUAAAUGCUUUUUCUCUCACAAGAAGAAGCAUAUAUGCCGAUGAUAUUAUUGUUCUUCAGAUUAUUGAAAAGUUGACUGACUUUUUUUAUAACUAAUGAUUCCUUGAAGGAUUCUUGAAUAAUCAUUCAUGGUAUUAUUAUACUUCUGUGAGUGAGUCUUUUGUGCGGUUAUGCCCCUUUGUUUGAAUGCUGUCAAUGAACUUAGAAAGAAAGAUUGGCUUUAGGUGCAAAAAGGCCAACAUACCAUUCUAAGUUUGCAUUAAAGCCCUUCUAAAUUCACGUGUGUAGAGGUAAUUUUGCUGGUUGGAUUAUGUCUUUAUCCAGCCAAAUUGUAGUUGAUUGAAUGUGAGUAGAUGAGUGUAGAAGGUAGAGAGGUAUAGCUGCACAAAGAGUGUCUUGCAAAGAUAAACAUGUAAGUUGCAAGUAUUCAGGGGCAUGCACACAAAAGGGCAAAUUUGUUUAGUGCUAUGUGAAUCAUAGCAGGUAUAAGUAAUCUACCGAGACAAUCCCAUAAAAUUUCUAAAGUACCACUGAACUUUAUUAUGGAUUAUACUAUCUUUUGCCACUUAAGGCAAGGGGUUGGGGUUCGAUUCCAAAGGGUGACACCCUCCUUCUUGGACCCUGUUACUCAAUAUCCCGAUUCUGCAAGUGUUAGACUUGAUAUGCCUGGGGACCUGGCUUUCAGCUUAGGUGGGGGAAGGGGGCUUGGACAUAGGGUAGGAGGUGGCUUUAGAACCCUCCCUGUUCAUAAAAGAAAAAAGAAAAAAGAAAAGAGAGAAAAUACCCUUCAAAGUGGGCCCCACAUUCUCUAAUUCCAAAAAUUGGUGUUUUGACCAUUUCAAUAGUGAGAGCAUACUCAGUAAGAAUGAAUAUAUGACACCCACUAUAAAAACUAAGCUCUUUUCCUCCCAAAGGAAGAAGCAUCACAUGCCUAUGGUACUUCAUAUUAUUGAUAAGUUGACUGACUUUUUUCAUAACUAAUGAUUCCAUGGAGGAUUCUUGGAUAAUCAGGCUUUUAGGCUUAAUAAGUUUCAUGAAUCAUUCAUGAGUUAUUUAGUGAAAUAUGCAACACUUUUGUUUGUUGCUGUUGUCUAUGUUGGAUUUUGCAUGAGGCAAUGCAUAGAUCUAUCUGCAAUUCUUCAUAUCUGCAUCGGAUCAAUCAUAAUCUAUUUCAAUCUUCAAUUAUCAUAAUCCUUUUUGAAUUUAUGAAUACUUGUCCUUGUUCCUUUUGAAGAUAAUGGACUAAUAAAAUUGUAUUUUGCACAUGUGUAAUCCAUAAUUGGAAUGUGCAGCCCAGCUCUCCCACCUGAAAAGCAAAAGACUCUUCUUUGGAAUUACUCUGUUUUGAGAUGGGAUUUGGUAAACUAUAUCUUUUGUUAUUAACUCGCAAUAGCAUUCUUAGCUCUUUAUUUGAACUUUUGAUUCUGUCCCUAGAUAGGAAUUAUCAGUGAAUGAUGAUCCAUAAAGCUGACCCCAAAUAGUGAGGAUAAAGCUUGACAACCAUGUGUAUAUAUGUGUGUGUGUGUGUGUGUGUAGUCCCAGCAUGGAUUAUUUGUGGACAUUGAACAUGUGAUUGUAGCAUUUCCUUUGUCCCAAGUGGACUGUUGUUCUGCAGCAACAUGAAAAGCAGACCAGAUAUCAAGCUGGUCAAGUUGCCAGUUCACUAAUUCAACUGUCAGCUCAAUAGGGCGGACAAGCGACAUAUUAAAUAGAAUUAUAAAAUACAUAGAAAAAUUAGAUGCUUUGUAGGGAAAUAUGUAAAAUUAAACAGAGGUCAUAUUAAUGUCUGGUGAAAUUGGUGAAAGUAUAGCAGACUAAAUGAGAAUAUAGCAGAUUAGAAUAAGCUAAAAACGGAGAAUAUCAUGUACAUGCAUGACGAAAUGUUAUUAAUUAGUUAUAGCAUAGCAUAUACGAAAAUUUCCUCUCUUGGUGUUAGGACUAAUUGUAUGGGUUGUGUAUACUCCAGAUCUGUGUAACCUCUUCUGUUCACCAAAAAAAGGGGAAGGGGUGCCCCUGGGGGGUGGCAGUGGUGGUGAUGCGCUGCUUUCUGACAUUUUUAUUUAAUAGGACUAAAAGCUCAACUUUUUCAGUCCUUAAAUGCCAGUGUUGGCGGUUCGGGACGGUUCCGACCGUUUCGAGCCGAACCGAUGCCACCAGUACGGUUUUGGCAAUAGAAACGAAAUCUGUUGCCGAAGGCGGAGAAGGAGAAGGAAAAGAGAGAGAGAGAGAGAGAGAACGGGGGAGGGAGGGAGGAAGGCUGGCGGAGGCCCGUCUGAAACAAGGGAACGGCCGCGUAAAUUGUGAAAGGGCCCAACGUCGGCCUCCACCGGCCUCCCUCCCUCGCUCCCCCUCCUCUCUUUUCCUCUCUCGUUCUCCCUCUCCCUCGUCUGUUCAACUGUGUCGGUAUGGGCUUGGCACGGCACACCGCAGGCCCAUUCCGACUCAUUUCGCCGGAGAACCGGUAUAGUGCCUGCUACCUGUUCUGUUGACGUUGUUAAAUGCCCACUAGAGGAGUCAUGGGAGGAGAAGAGCCUCAAGGGCCCUGGCCAAGGUGGGGGUGAGUGCAGGACACCAGCAAGGGUUGUUGAGGGUUGAGGAUUUGAGGUCAUUUUAGGAUUUUGGUGGGGUGGGUGGGGUGGGUGGGGUGGGGAAGCUUGUCUUAGAUGGAGUCGGUAAUUGCACGUGCUGGAGUGGCCUCAGGGCCAGAUAAAAGGAAGAUGUUUAAUCUGUCUUUUGCUUCCGAAGAGCAUAAGAUAAGAGAAAGGGAUUUGAUUGGGUCUCUUUAUGGUUUUUCUUCUCAAUUUUUGAUAUCAGUGCACAAGAAUGCCCUUGAAUUUUAAGUUGAUGACAAAGUAGUGACUAACUGCUGGUUUAAGAACCUGCCAGUUCUCUUAGAACCAGAUAGUUCACAGUAAAGAGCACUGAGUUACAUGGUAUUUUCUGGUUUGAUUGCAUAUCUGAUCUUCUGAGGGAGGCAGAAUGGCAUGGCUGCAGGUUCACGGGUUUUCCCUUCCAACAGGGUAUGGUGGUUCAGUUCAGAUGAUAUUUGUUUGUGCAACUAUUCUUUCCUCUCUCUCACUCUGUGUUUCUCUCUCUAUCUCUCUCUCUCAUAAAAGGUCUGUAACUCUUCUAUGCAAAUGCCAAAAUCAGGAUGUUAUGAGUUAGAAUUUUGGUUGUCAAAGCAUUGCUCCAUUUGUAAUUUCAGGUGCCUGAGGUCCCACAGGUUUCUUUUCUGUCAAAGGUGGGAUGGUGGUGCCAUCUCCUCUGUUUGGUUAAGAAUGGAUCCCAGUCUUUAAGAUCUCUAGUGACAUCCAAAUCCUGCUUGCCGUUGUUCUAAUUAAUAGUUUUUGCACUCCAAUCUAGCAACUCCAUAGUAAAGUCUAAUCAUACGACUUUCGUACUGUGCAGGGCGAGAGGAGAAUAUAGUAAAGUCUAAUUGUAUGACUUUCGUACUGUGCAGGGCCAAAGGAAUUCUCCUCGCUGUUCUACAGCCUUCAGAACUGGAGGGUAUAAGAUCUACAAGCCUUUGUUGCAGGAAGUUAGCCCUUUAUUUUAAUUGGUUGCUAACAUGUUUUGCAUAUCUAGGCCAUCUUUGAGAGAUUUGAUCGGGAUCACAGUGGUAAGGUUGAUUCUUCAGAGCUACGAGAAGCUCUUCUUAGUCUUGGGUUUUCUGUUUCUCCAGUGGUCCUGGACCUGCUCGUGUCCAAGUUUGAUAAAUCUGGAGGCAAAAACAAAGCCAUUGAAUAUGAUAACUUCAUCGAGUAAGAUUUUUUUCUACCUUACUCCAUUUGUGCUUAGCAUGAUAUGCAUGGGAAGGGCAGUUUGUUGAAAUAUUGCUGGGAGGUAGCUUUUGUUAUAUAUUAUCUUUCAUAUGAGUUAUUUACACCUUUUGACUUAUUUGUGCAUCUUUGAAUGCCUUGCAGAUGUUGCCUCACUGUUAAGGUAAUUGAUUAAUUCAUUCACUAGUUUCUGAAUUCUGAUAUAUACAAUUUUCUUUGAUGAUUGCGAUUUUCUGUUGUCCUCUAUGGAUUGGACCUAGAACUGAAAAUGUAUAUUUUCUGUUUGGAUCGUUGGGAUGGCAGGGGCUAACAGAAAAGUUCAAGGAGAAGGACACCGCGUACAUGGGGUCGGCCACAUUCACUUAUGAAUCCUUCAUGCUCACUGUCUUGCCCUUCCUCAUUGCAUAAAGGAAGCUGUGUAUAUAAGCCUUGUUCUCUUUCGGACAGAUUACCCAGUGUUGCACUUUCUCUGCCUUGUUUUCCUCUAGGUCAUGUUGCUUGUGAUACUAUUUAAUGUUGAUUCGUGGUGACGAUCUUUUCCUUGGGUGUUCCUUUGGAUGGUUUGCAUUGUAUGUGAUCUCUUUGUGGACAUGAGGCCAGCAACAUGAAAUGCUUUGGCUUUAUAGUCUGAUCGAACAUCAGGCAAAUGGAUGCAUCAUGCAAAUCUGCAUAUAUGACUUCAGUUGCUGGUUUUUCACAAACUUUGUUUUGGGAUUUGCUGAGAUUUUCUGUUAGCUCAGAUCUUUGCAUGCUCUACAUUCUAGCAGCUUCAUGUCAGAGCAUCCAUGAAAAUGAACGACAAAUUGAGGGUGAAACUUUGGCAGUUUCAGAGUCCAACUUAAGACGAGGCAUGGAACCUCGCAGUAAAUGUCGACUCCAUUGAGAAAUGCGCUUCGGGACAUGAGGUCCAUGGUUAUAUCUGAGUUAAUAUGCAAUUCUUGCAAUGAGGCGGUAAUUUAAUAAGUUAGGUAAAGCUGAAGCCAUGGAUGUAAUUAUUUACAAUUGAAUCAAGGUAGGUGAUACCCUGUUUCGGAAAGGGAAGAAGGAAGGAAAAAGAAAAGAAAAAAAUAAAAGAGAUAUAAGAGUGAGAACAAAGCAUAAUAAGCUGGUUGUGUGGUAUGUUUUGAUACUCACCAAUUUUGAGGUAAAUGGGUAUUAAUAUACGAGAUCACUGUUAGAAUAUACCUCAGGGAGGGGACUAGAUCUGAAAAUAGUGAAACCAAAUAAAUUAGUGUAAAGAUCAUGGUAUCCGUGCGGGGUUGGGUAUUGGUUAAGCAAAUUUUGGUAGAGAAAUUGAUGAUAUGAGGAUGCCAAUUACUAUGAUACUGGGGAGAGUGGGAGAUCUGUCCCAUCUGUGGAUUACUAUGCCAAUUACUAUGAUACUAUGCCAAUUACUUGCUUCAGGUUUCUUCUCUUGGAUUGCCAUGCCUAAAGAGUACAGAUAAAGCAGUAUGAAGAUGCUCGCGGUAUUGGAGCAUUGGUGACCUGGCCCAUCUGUGGCACGCGACACACUAGCCGUAGGUUUGUUAACGAAAAAGAAUUCCAGUAAAAAAAAUUACAACCUAUUAAUAUACUAGCAGCCACGCACAUUCAGUGCACAUUUAAGUAAAAAGCAAAUUAAUAAAUAAAGAAUUCAAGGGGCUCCUGGAUAAGAGAGAGAAAAGAAGUGGAUUAUAGAAAGAGGAUCGCUGUUUUUGUUUGUUUUUUAAAUUUUAAACGGAGUCCAACAGGUUAGGAAUGUCGGCUAGAGAUGCAUGGAGAUUUUUGUUAAAUAGAGUCCAUGUGUAAGCGACAUCGUGUGGCUAUUUAUAGUUUUGCAGUUAUUAAUGAAAAGAGAAACUAAGGAUGUUCUUGUUAGAAAAUUUGAUGAACUGAAUCUAAUAGAGAAUGUACCUUCUUCAUUUAGUAAUAUAGUAUAGAUUUAUAGCUUUAUUAUAUUUAGGAAUUUGCAUAUUUUCAUUCAACAAUACAAUAUAAAUUUAUAUAUUUAUUAUAUUCAAUGGAUAAAUCCUAAAAUUUGUGAGUAAAUCUUAGAACUCAUGAAUAAUUGAAUAAUUUUUAAUUAACACAUUUACAAAGAAUAAUUUGACAAAAUUAUUCUACCAAGAAAAAUUGGAAAUAGCUUUCAAUUAAAACUCCACAUAUACAUUUUUAAAAUGCCCAACUUGGCUAUUCGCAAUUCUAGAAACAAAAUUCUUUUAUCAUAUGGUUGAAAGCGAGCUUGUUUAGUCAAUGAACUUGAGAAAGAAUGAAGCAGUCAUGAAAGGCACAACAAAUUGCAUUUAUGACAAACAAGUUUGCAAGGAGGACCUUCAAAUGGUAAACAAAAAAAUUAGACCAGUAACAAAAUAUACUAUAGUGAAACCAUAUUUUGUAUUUAAGUACUCGUAUGAAAAGUAGUUGUUUGUGCUAGAGAGGUGGAUCUCUUUUAGAAUUGAAUUUUCAUUAGCUGUCAAAAUAUUUGCAAAAGAAAAAUCAUUGUUAAAAAAAAAUAAUAGUGUGACUCACUAGCAAUCAAAAGGCAAUCUAUAUUUUAUAAUUUGGAGACUAUUUUUAUUUAAUGCUCUCACAACUGGCGAGGUGUGCAGGAGCCGUUUUGGGCGUUUUGGGUUUGGCCCAUGGCCUAUUAUAUAGAUGGUGUAACAGGCCCAAGUCUUAUCCGAUCCUUUUCCAGGAGCCGUUGGAUCGUCCGUCCAAAAGGCUCAUCUCUUUCUUCUAGUUUUCGCAGGAUAACUCCGACCUCUCUUCUUCCUGCGGCGGGAACGGAGAAGCGCCCGAGAAACUCUAACCGUAAGUAACUCCGCUCGAGCUCUAGCCAUGGCGAACUACGACCUCACCUCCCGGAUCGCUCCUCAACUCGACCGCCACCUCGUCUUCCCCCUCCUGGAGUUCCUCCAGGAGCACCAGCUCUACGCCGAGGACGAGAUCCUCAAGGCCAAGAUCGAGCUCCUCAGCCAGACCAACAUGAUCGACUACGCCAUGGACAUCCACAAGACCCUCUACCACACUGAAGAGGUCCCCCAAGGUCGUACCUCCUCUCCCCUCUCCCCUUAGGGUUUUGAUUUGAUGGAAUUCUCUCUCUCUCUCUCUCUCUCUUUUGGGGAUAUGAAUUUUGUGCUGGAUUGGUGUUGGCAGAGAUGGUGGAUAGGAGGGUCCAGGUUGUCGCGAGGUUGAAGUCUCUUGAGGAAUCGGCGGCGCCGCUGAUCUCUUUUCUUCAGAACGCUUCCUUGGUUCAGGAGCUGAGGCCCGAUAAACAAUACAACAUCCAGAUGCUCAAUGAUCGGUUUCAGGUAUCCUUUUGCUUUGAUUUCCUUGGUUUUUCUUCUGUUUUCAUCAAUUUAUGAGAAAAAAAUUCGAUCUUUAAGCUUUCAUGAUGCAGUCCGUUGCUAAGAUUAUGCAGAAUUAUGUUUUGUUUUAAAGAUUAUUAAUGAGUUCAGUUGGUUUCUGAAAUGGCUUGCAAAUUUAUUGAUUAAAAAGAAGAAGAGCAGAAGAAAAAAUGGUAAUUUUCCUAUUUCGUUGUUGAACAGAUUGGUGCUGAUCAUAUAGAGGCUUUAUAUCAAUAUGCUAAGUUUCAAUUUGAGUGCGGGAACUACUCUGAUGCUGCUGUCUACUUGUAUCAAUAUCGUGCUUUGUGCACUAACAGUGACAGAAGUUUGAGUGCUUUGUGGGGCAAGCUAGCGGCAGAGAUUUUAAUGCAGAAUUGGGAUAUUGCACUCGAGGAACUUAAUCGACUCAAGGAGAUUAUAGAUUCCAAGGUCUUAUUUUUGGCCCUUUGCUGGGUGUGCUGUGUAGUGUCUACGUGUAGUUUCUUUAUGGUUUGCUUGUUUCUUUUAUGCUAUUUUUUUAGGGCUUUCCUACUUUCUUUAAUAUUAUUGCUUUUUUUUUUUUCGUGGGGCAGAAUUUUGCUUCACCUUUAAAUCAACUGCAGAAUAGGAUAUGGCUGAUGCACUGGAGCCUUUUCAUCUUCUUUAACCAUGAAAACGGGAGAAAUGGAAUUAUUGAUCUUUUCUUCCAAGACAGGUUUGGUUCUCCAGAUCAAAUUUGAAGUAUCAAGUAUUGAACCGUUUCUUAGUCUUAAUGAGUUGCAACCAUUCUGCUGCGCUUACACUCAUCCAAGACGGCUUAAAUUUGCUUUUGGGUAUCUAAUGUGGUCAGCAUUAAUCCUUUCUGAAACAUGUUCUUUAGUCAGAUAUUACAUUUCUCUUAUUUUUGCAAAACUUACUGAAAAAUAAAUAACAUUACUGUUAUAGGGUAACACUAUAUUACAAAGGAAGAAUAUUUUAGGUUUCUCUCAAAUUGUUUGCAAAAUCGGUCGUCUCUUUUGUGGAUUUUCAUUAUUUUUAUUUUUGGUAGCAAGAAAAUGUUUAGAAACAAAGCUAGAAAAAGGAAGAUUUACAUACAAGUCACUCCAAGUUCUUGAAGAAGAGGAUAACCAGAACAUGGAUAUGCUAGAGAAGAAAUAAAUCAAUAACAUUGUGGUGGAAAAUUUCUUCAUGAGUCAUUCUCAAUGCAGGAAAACAUAAAACUUGGACAAUGUACAUAUAUUUAUAGUCAUAAGCAUCCAGAUAGGCCCAAUGUUUCCCUGCUGUUGUUGGAAGGCCAACAAAUUUGUUCUUUUCAAACUGCUCACCAUAUUUCAUGCAAUUUAAUGCUGAACACUGUCUAAACAUAAGUGCAGGUAAAGGUAGAGCUCCAGAUUGAGAGUCUGAAAGAAACUUUGCUAGAUAGUUGUUCCAAAAUUUCAACCUUCUUACACGAUACCACUAAAAAGAUUUAUCUAACUGGCAAUGUAGAAGCAAGUGACUCAUCAUCUCAUCACCAUGAGUCAUGAAGAACACUUGCAGUCCAGCUCAGUUGCUUUUUUUUUUGUGUAUUUUAUAGAUUUGCUCUGUAAUUGGUCCAGCUCUAGAUGGUUGUCCAAUACAGGCUUGUAUCCUUUAUGGAACUUGAGUAUUUAAACCAUUCUUUUAGCAACUACUAAACUGAAACUAGAAAGUUAACGGUUUGAUCCAGGAGAAAUAUACGGGCCUAUUUGGCCUCUUGUCUCCCAAUAUUAACAUCUAUACAAUGUAUUAAGAACUUGAAUAUGCAAGCUUGGAUCAAAUGUAGUUAAGCUCUUUAAUUCCCUGUUGAUGAAUUUAUCAAAAAGAAUUUCAUCAUCAAGUAAACCUUCCAAAAGCAUCAAUAACCCUUUGCUGUUUGCUAACCAAGGCAUUUCGAUUAGAAGCUUUAAGAAAUGGUUUAGGGAACGAAGAUGUUAGAAUUAAUUUUUGACAUGAACAAGACAGUUGAAACAUUAAUUGAUGAUCUUCAUUUUUUUGAAACAUUUUUAAAAUGUUUAGCUCCAAUGUGCUAUUAGUUUUACUGACAAUUUUUUUUUUUUGAAAACUUAAAAAUUACUAGAGAAGUGUUUAAUUCAAUCAAAUUUGCAUCUUAACCAAUAGCUUUCCAUCCAUAGUUUGAUUUGAACUAGAAUAACAUGCUGUUAUUUGAGCUUUGUUAGAAGCACUCAUGAACUCCUUAAGGACUUAUCUGCCCAUCAAGUUGAUGAAAAUUGUCCAGUUGGCUUGUUAAAUUGGUGACAUUUUUCCUUAAAAAUUUUUUGGGGUGCACUCCACAUUUUUUAAACCAAAACUUGUUUUUGACCUCCAUCAAAUCCAUCGUGCGAUGUUUGUUGCCUACUUUUGUUCUUUAUUUGGUGUCUUGUUGUGGCUUUCUUCUUGUUUCUGCUGAAUACCUUUUUGUUAUUGUAGCUUAUAACUUUAAUAUGGUAGGAUCAGUCAAUUUAACUUCAAAAGUAAACGAUCUAAUUGUUAUCGUUAGAUUUGCUAGAAAUUUAUUUGUGUCUGUAUUCUGUAAUGUAUCUUAGAUUUUAAAUAGAACAAGAUAAAAGGAAAGAAAGAAAGAAAGGUGUUGGAUGGCAUGAAAUCAUGCUUGGGGAUUGAUAAUAGGAAUUAUGAAAUAAAAGCAGCUUGAAACCUUUCUCUCUAUUUCUUGAAGUAGAGAGGAAAAAUAAUUGGAUUCUAAUUUAUGCUUUUAAAACUAGCGAAAAACUGAACCUACUCCCAAUUCACUAUCAUCCACCUCUCUUAUUUGCACACACUAUGAAAAUAGUAAGUUGCUUUAUUGUGUCAUUGUGAGUAAAUCAGGUCCUAUUUUAGACCUCCCUUGAAACAUCUUAUUCAUGGCCAAGAAUGUCAUAAUCUAGGUAUGCCGAGAAUGUCAUAAUCUAGGUAUCCCAAGAAUAAUUUGGCUUAUCAACUAUGACAUUUAUAAUUAUUUAGUUAUGAUCUUGAUGACCUUAAUUUGUCUGAAAUAACGUUUUAGUGUAUUUUGCCAAGGAAGCUAUCUUUCAGACCCUUUAAUUCAGUCAUUAUGCUUUUAUGCAGGUAUUUGAAUGCUAUUCAAACAAAUGCACAUCACCUCUUACGUUAUGUUGCAACUGCUGUCAUUAUCAAUAAAAGGAGAAGAAAUAUGCUUAAGGAGUUGAUCAAAGUCAUCCAGCAGAAACAGCACUGUUACAGGGAUCCUAUUACAGAAUUUUUAGAAUACUUAUAUGUCAAUUACGAUUUUGAAGGUGCACAGAAGAAGCUCACGGAGUGUGAGCAAGUAAGUUACUUGUUACUCCAAUUAAGUUUGCUGAUGUUCUGUAUCUUUUAAUUAGGAAUUUCUAGUAUUGUAUGCUUCAUUUCAACAUCUUAGUUAGGAAAUCAGGUUAAUUCAUGUUAUUUAGUAAAGGUGGAUAGCUUGUAUCGAGAUUGUGGAUUAGAUAGCCUAGUUUGAGAAUCUAACUGUUCGCUUUAACUCCGUAUCACUUCUGCUUUCCCCAAUCUUUUCUUUUUUUAUCUAUCUGGAGGUAAGCUCACUUUUAACACGUUUGAAGUUCUUUCUUUGCCUAUUUGGAAUCUGUAGAAAUUGUUACAAAGGCACCAACAUAUGUUACAGACUGGGAGUAUGAUGUUAGGUAUUUGUGCAUGUCUAAGUGCCAGAUCCUUCUAGUUAUUAAGAAAUUUCUUCUUUUGGACUUGUACCUAGUUGGCAUACCCAUGACCUUGUUCCCUAAUUUGACAUAGGUGUAAUAGGUGAUAUGCGCCAACCACUUCUGAUAUGACAAUGUUGCUAUUUUUGUUGAUAUGAUUUCUUGGGAUCUCAUUUCCUUCUAGUGCUUAUAUACAUGCCCCCUUGCAAUUCUCUCCCAUAUUUUCCUAAUUUAUGCAGCCAUAGGAGUCAGCAGCCACGGUGCUGUGGAGGUUCUGUUCAUUAUAAUCAGAGGUAGGCAUCCCACAAACAAAGAUUAGAGCCUACCUAAUGGCCAACAUAAGGACAAAGAAAAUAAAAGGCUACAACAUAUAUAAGUAUUCAGCUCAGAACGUAUAUAAUACUCAUAUAACAGGACUGCUAUUUAGUGGGCAACAAUUCUUAAUAUCUUGAUAAAUAUGGUGCAAGCCAUAUGGAUCAGUCUACUUGGGAGAAUCUUUGAUAUAAAUUUGUGCUUUCUCUUGAAGAUAGCUGGGGUCCAAGCAUCAAUACGCAUAUUGAGUAAUGUGGAAAAAGUUGUUAUAAACCAUGCUGUCUAUAAAUAUUUCCUACGCGUCAAAGAAAUUUCUAUUUCUUGGUAUUGCCUGGUUAUUUUAUUAUGAUAUCACUUAGCUGAUUUUGCUGAUGAAGAUUGAGUUUCUACUAUGGCGAGAACUUUGUAAAAGAAUUCAUCUCAAAGCUCAUUAGAUUUUAGCACCAGAGUGUUAAGAUAUGCAUUUGUUACUUUUUUUCUUUUUUGGAUAAGGAAGGGGAGAUUUGCAACUCAAAAAUAUAAUACUAGCAUAAUACUAGGAUGCAAAAAUAUUAGGAAGCAACCACAGGAGAUUUUUCUACGUAUUUGUGUAAAAGGCACUUCUGCUUUCAUACAAAGAAUAAUACUAAGAUAAAGUAUAAGAUUGGAAUUAUUAGUUAUUUCUAAAGUGAUGAGCUCUAGUGAGGAUCAUCAUGUUAGUAGGAAAAUGAACAAGCACAUUUUGGUAUUUUAAUUAUCUAACAAAGUGAUAGAUGUCUUGAAGCUUGGCAUACUUAGAGCAAAAUGUCUUCAUAUGAAUAACAGGAACAAGACAAAUAAUUUUUAAUACAUGGUCAUUGCAGAGUUAGGUUAUUCUUGGUAUGGCAAGCAUCAAAGAAUAAUUUCAUAAAUGUGCAAGAAAAACUCUGUUCUACAUACAAUGAUGGAUGAAUUAGCAUUGUGAUGAUCAUCACCUGAGCCUUUCUCUGACCAAUACACAGUAUACUAAUUUUGAAAAAUGUUCCAUUGAAGGAUGCGCAGAUUAUAUCUGAUUGUAAAUCCAGUGCUAACCCUCUAGAAACAAGAGCUGAAUUUCUGACUUAGGCAAAUCUUAGUAGUGAUAUAUCAGAAUUAUUUCUACUUCAGAUUGUAUUAUAACACUGUAUAUGUACUGCUAUUUUCUGGCAUAUGUGUAUUUCUUUUGUUAUGCUUGGUUUGUAGCCUUAGUUUAUUGCACUAGAAAACCUGUAAAUACAUCACAUUUUUGAAUCUCCUUCCAACUUGGUUGACUUUGCAUUUUCCUUUCCAGCUCUGUCAUGGUGUGUGUGAUUAUCUUAAUUGUAUUUCUUUAUUUUUUUGCUGCGAUUUAUUGUCUCCUUAUUUUAUGUGAUGCUUACAAAUAUUAUUUGCUUCUUGUUAAGGUAAUACUGAAUGAUCCCUUUCUUGGAAAACAUGUUGAAGAUGGUAACCUUACCACUGUACAUCUAAGGGAUGAGUUUCUUGAAAAUGCCCGUCUCUUCAUUUUUGAAAGUUACUGUCGCAUACAUCAGUGCAUUGACAUCAGGUAGGCAACUUCCAUUGUAAGAUUAUUACUAAUGUAUAUGAAGUUUUUCAAUUUAUUAGAUAUAUGGACCUCUUAGGACUCGUUUGGUUCGCGGAAAGAAUUUUCUCACCAGAAUAUUUUUUCUGGGAUGAUGAUUCCUAGGAAUAUGAUGCUUGAAAAAAUGAAUUUGGCAUGUUUGGUUGAUCAUGAAAAAGUGGCACAUUUCAGAGUAGCUUAUGUUUGCUUGAGCAUCUACUUUCCUAGAAAAGUUGUAUGAAAUACCUAUUACACCCUUAAUAAAGGAAAAAAACCUUACCUAUGGGUUUUGAUGGCUUAAGGGUAACUUUGAAAAAAAAAGACCCUAAUUUCCAACUGGUGAGAAAGUAACUUUUUUAUGUCCUCCAUGGGUUUUUUUCUCCAUAAAACAUGAGAAUUUUAUUCCUAUGGGAAUAUUACUUUUUCAUCUCUUUUUUUUGAAAACUCCAACCAAACAAGAGGUAUUUCUUUAUUUUUCUAUUGACCACACUUUCUCUCCUUCUUUUCCUGCGAAUCAAACGAGUUCUUAAGGUUGUCUGCACUUUAUUGUGUGUAUGUGUGCGUGUAUAUGUAUAUAUUGGUCACAACAUCACUUUUUCAUGCCUUUCAUGCCUUGUGUCCGUGCUGCAUACACUUGUUAGCUGCCCACAUGAUUGUGUGAGAUUUUAUCCUUCACGGAAGCAAAUCAAGUAGAAGAAAUGCCUAUUAGUCUCUCUAUUUGGACAACCAGCGCAUCAGUUAAUCUGACAAAAAUGGAAAAGUAUGCAUGAUUAUUAAAUAUUCCAAGAGAUAACUAUGGGAAUUAUUUCUCAUUUUGAAGGACACAUUCGGUUAGUAGGUUUUUGUCUUCCAAAUUGAAUGAGAAAGGAGCUGUGGUUUUGGUGGCAAGCUUUGAACAAAUAGAGAAGUUCAGUAUUUAUGCAUCACUGAAACAACAAUCAGUUAGUGGUGCAGCUAGGCUUACAGUGCAGAAUGGUCAAAAUUCUUUGGUUUUUUUGUGGGACUUUCUUAGUCCAAUCCUUAGACAUCUUGGCCUUUACUCAUUUUUGCUGAUGGCAUAACAACUUGUCUAAGAUAACAUGACUUUUCUAAACCACACAUCUUAGAGCGGAGAACAUCCAAAGUGUUGUGGAUCCCCUAUCAGGAGGCUGCAGACUGUAUCUUGGUUGGGGAAAUCACAAGGUUGUUUAUCGGGAGAGGACGUCUGUCCCUACUAACUGGCCUGUAAGUUGUACUCUGGUUUGACCCAUGAUUAUAUGCAGGGCUGUGAUUUCCUCGUGAAAUUACAUUCAUCAAGAUGCCCAGGCUAUGUUAUGUUGCUAGCUUUCAGUGCACCUCAGGUUGGUGAUGUACAACCAAAGGAGAAAAACAAGUGGGGAUUUAAAUUGUAGUCCCGUAGAAUUUUUGCAUAUGAUGGCCGUAUUUGCUAUUCAGGUUGAUAAAUCAUUGUUUUUAUGGAGUUAUAAUGAUUAACUCGGCGCUCUACAGAUAACAAUUAAGAAAAUAUUUUAAACUGUAAUUUAGAAGAUGUAAAAUAAUGCAGAAUUGGAUCUUUCAUUUGUUUAAUUGUACUAUACUAAAGUCUAUUUCUUGUGAAUAUACUUGCCCAUCAAAAAAGGAUGGAUCCACAGUUCCUUAACCUUGCUGGCUCAUACGAUGAAACUUUUGAUAGAUAUACAAGUGAUAAUUCUCCUGUUUAGAACAGGGGAUUUCUGUUGUCUUCCCAUUAAUUAGCAUUUGUUUACAAUUACUUGCAGUAAAUGGCUUGUAGUUUUUCUCUCUUGUAUGAUGGUUUUCUUGCUAUAUAUCUCUUGUUUAGAGUACCCUCUUCUUUUCCCACAUAUAAUGGUAAUAGCUACAGUUCUUUUGUUUCAACAAGCUGAUGCUUGAAAUUAAUUGCUGAUACUCGAACCGAUGUCUGGUAACAGCAUGCUUGCUGAGAAGUUGAACAUGAGUUAUGACGAGGCAGAAAUGUGGAUAAUGAAUCUUGUUCGAAACUCAAAGCUUGAGGCGAAGAUUGAUUCAGCAUCAGGGACUGUUAUCAUGCGAACCAAUCAUCUUAAUGUGUAUGUUUUUCUGCAUGUCUAAGAUUUCCUGGAUUUUUAGUUAUGUCCAUGCAGAAUCUUCUACAUACAUUGAUCUCCAUCUCGAUCACAAAUUUGAUGAUGAAUAUAAGGAGGUUAUUCAUCCGUCUGCUAAAUUACCGGAGAUCUACUCCGUAGUCCUGAUUAAGAUUGGAUGGUGGAUAUUGUGGUUAAAUAUCUGAGAUUUUUGUUCCUUUAUUCUAUCAUAAUUUGCAGCAAUAUUUUUGUGUUUGUUCUUAUGUUUAUAUGAUUUUUCUUCUUUGGUGUUAUUUUUUCCCUCUUUACCAGAUAUGAACAGAUCAUUGAAAACAUGAAGAACCUUAAUGUGCGGACAUAUGUUUUGGCAAAGAACAUUCUGGAACCCGCACAAGCUGCUGCUCGCUAGAAGCAAAAGAAUUUUACCACAUAUAAGAGAAAGAUUCAUGCAGUUUUUAGUGUAGUAUUUAGAUUGGAGCAUGAUUUUCUCUUUUUUUUUAUGAUUUUGUUACAGAGCUAGAGCUUUCUAUUCCUCCAGAAGAUUUUUGACCUCGCUGUGGUUUUCUAUAUGUUGAGAUUGUUUCAGUACCUUACAACCUAAUGUUCUUUUGUUUGCUUUUUUUUGUCUCCUGAAAUGUAUGGACAUCUAUUUUGCUUAAUUAACUGACACAUGCCCUCCAUCAUAUCUAGCCCUUCCAUGAUUUUGAAACCAGAUGAUUGAAAGAGCAGAUAAAAUAACAGAAGUCAUCAUAUGACAUCAAAUUGAUGAAAGAUGGGUGCAUUAAGAAUUCCAGGUUUACUUAACAGGUGUUUCGGGAUGUCAAGCGAACCGAGCAGCUCGAGCUCGGCAUGAGAGGAGCUCAAAUCAUGCUCAGUUUGAAGCUAAACAACCCAAGCUUGAAUCAGUAAAAUAGGCAUGAAACUAAUGUCAAGUCAAGCCAAAAAUCAACCCAGCUUGAUCAGGCUUGGAUAUGUUGAAUUGUAUAUAUGAAAUAUGUAUUUCAUGUAAGUAGGUUAUUGGGUUAAAAUGUUAAUCGGUGCCCUUUUACUCUUUGGAUCAACUAAAAGUUAAUUGAGGUCUGAACUAGAUCUUCAACCAAGCUCGGAAUCGAGAUUUGAGCUCUCAUGCAAGCUUAAAUCAAGUUUUAUUUAAUCUUGAGUUGUUUGAGCUUGAUUCAAGAUUAUCAAGCUGUUCAAAUAUGCUUUUGUUCCGCUCCAUUCAAAAUUAAGAUUGAAUUGAGCUUAAAAUGAUAGUAAAUAAAUCAAGCAUAAUCUAGGGGUUCAAGUUUGAAAUUAAUUUUAAACCAAACUUAUUAGAUCUGAGCUCAAUCAAGCUUGGCUCUAUUAUGUCCCUAGGUGCAGAAGUGGAAAGGGAAAGUCUAUAUCAUUAAGGACUCGUUUGGUUUGUGGGAAGAUUUUUUUCUAAGUGGAAUAUUUUUUCUGAGAAGAUUUAAAGAAAUAUGAUGCCUGAAAAAAUAGUUUUGGUAUGUUUAAUUGGUCAUAAAAAAAUAACACAUUUUAAAGUGGCUUAUGUUUGGUUGAGUAUCUAUUUUUCUGAAAAAGUUGUAUGAAAUACUUAUUAUACCCUUAAUAGAUGGAAAGACCUUAUUCAUGGAUUUUGGCGACUUAAGGAUACCUUUGGAGAAAAAAAAUCUCAAUUUUCAACUGAUAGAAAGUAGGUUUUUCAUAUCCCCUAUGGAUUUUUCUCUCAUGAACUAAGAAAUUUUAUUCCUAUUGGAAUGCUACUUUUUCAUCUCUCCUCUUUAAAAAUUCUAAUUAAUCAAGAGGCAUUUUUUUUAUUUUUUCGUUAACCACAUUUUUUUCUUUUGUUUUUCUGCAAACCAAACGAGUCCUACUACUUCUCAUAAUGGUUGUCUUCCAAAAUGUAGGGAUGUGUAUGGUGUCAAAAUCACCAUGCAGUGGCAGUGGCCAUACUACUUUCUAGGGACAUGGUUGCCUGGUUGGUUUGCCAAUGUGAGCCUUGUUCUCCAACUUGGUGCAACAAACAGCGCACAUCCAAUACUUCACCCUGUUAUCCUCUAGGCUAUAUGUCAUUGGCAAGUGGCUUUUGCUGCAGGAGAGAUCUCUCUUUCUACUUUUGAUUGAGUGUUUAGGUUGUCAUGAAAGCUGUCCAUGCGGUGCUUUGAUAUUCUUCAGUAUCAGCACUACAAUAUGAUCAAAAGAUAUGCUGAAGAGCACAAAGGAAGCUGCAGAUCUCUAAGCCAGAUCAAGCACCUACUACAGCAUGGUGCAUGUUUGGAACUAUCACAAGUUUGGGCGAGACAAGAUUGGUGAUGCUUGAUCUUUUGAUAGCGAUUGGGCAGGAACUGCAGCUCAUUAGACAAAAAUCCCAGAUCAAGCACCUACCACAGUGCAUGUUUGGAACUGUCACAAGUUUAGGUGAGACAGGAUUGGUGAUGCUUGAUCUUUUGAUAGCUAUUGUGUAGGAACUGCAACUCAUUAGACAAAACUCUGUUCUCCAAAGACCAAAGUAUAGUUGUUGUUUCGCAUGGCUUGCUCAGGAAGGAACAAUACACAACCAUGGCUGCCGGUAAAUUCUCUUGGAAAUUGCAGUAUGGUUCAAAAGCUUCAAAUCAAAUCAAAGCUUCUGUUGGAAAAAUCAAUGUCUCUUUCCUUCGUUCUCUUUCCUCCAUUCUGAGCAAGCACAAAGCUGCAUGCCUUCUUAAUCCAGUUAACUGACUGCACUGUAUCCAUAUCCUACCAAUAGACCGAGGUGGCAUAGACCGAACUAAAAUGAUCUCUGCAUGCGUUUAUUACAGAAUUCAAUGAAUUUUGAUGGAAAUAUAACAGCAAACAAAAUGAUCUCUGCAUGUGUUUGUUACAGAAUUCGAUGAAUUUUCUUUUGAAUAUAACAGCUGAGGCCAUGCAGAUUAUAGGUCAUUAGGAAUUGUUUGAAAGGAGAACCAUUGCUGAGAUGUAGAAAGCUAAGCCAAAAAUACUUUAAAUCCUCCAAGGUUCUAAAUAGCAACUGUCACCAAUUGCCCUCGUUCACCUGUCACAUCAACUGCCGUUUCAUUUGGAAUGGUAAGAAACCAAAUCCGCCCUACUCUAAUUAUAAGAGAGAAUUAUAUUACAACUUUCUCGGACAGAGCCAGAGCAAACUUAAUUCCAAGUGAUUGCAGAAACAGUACAAACAAAAUGCUCCACAUCCAUGAUCCUACAGAUCCACAAACAUGAAAAAUCUAUUAACCAUAACUACUAAACCUUGUCCCGGUUAGAUGGAUCGGCAAACACAAAAUAUCUGGCAAAAAAAUUAAUGUUCCAUAACAAUAUCUGUACGGCAGACGUGCUUUCGAACAUACAGUAAGACUUCAUUCCAAGAUAGCUAACAGAUUGUAAAUUCUCGAACUUAUGCGGAGAAAAACUUCGACGGUCGGCAGGUUAUUUGUGAGACAAGACCUCGAAUCUGGCUUGUUUUUGCAGAAACUUUUAUGAUGCUUUAUGAUUAAGUCGUUCGAGCCAAAACAGGUGGUUCAUGAACCAUUCGACAUAUAAAGAUGGCAAGAAUUGACCUGACAUGUAAUCCAUUCUGACCCAGACUUAUUUGGGUCGAAUUUGAGUCAUAGAUUUUUUAACUAGGGUCGGUCAUGGAUCAAAUUUUUGAACCCGAGCCUUAAAUGGAUUUGAUUUGUGUUAAAGCUUUGACCCAGCUUGAAUAGUAGAGAGAAUUGCAAUUAAGUAUUAAGAUUCUCAUCAAAUUAUACAAAAGAAUUCUAAAACCCUGUAAUCACAAUUUUGUAGUACAUGCAAUAGUAAUUUGAAAUUCAUGAGAGAAAAAAAGUCCUGUUCUUGUGAAUUAAGUGAGACGCAAAUGCACAAAUGCAUGCUCUAGGCACUCUCGCUAGGGAGAAGGAAAGAUGACGAAAUAGAAAGAUAAGACUAAUAACACGAAUAGACAUAUGCAAGAAUCUUUAUAAAGUUUCUAGUGAUUUAUUUAUGAUGAAAAAAAAUGUCGCCUAACCCAAGAGCUAGAAUUUCACUGAGAAUUGCUACAUGUUAAACUUAUCUUGCUGCAAUCAUCUUCUCUUGUUGUUUCUAUUUGUAUUUUAUACAUGUUGUUCUAUUAUACAGGAUACCAGGAUCUUCAAUUGAAAAUUGCAGUUGAUGCCAUUCAUACUCCAAAAGAAAGGCAACUGCUACAACAUCCUCUAUUAUUACUUAGGACCCCACUAAAGUUCUGUCCAACUAAUUAUAGAACUCAUUAAACACCUCCUGCCACUCAAUUAUCACAUGACUACAGACAAUGACAAAAUCUCAUCCUUUAAAUACAAAACUUAAUUAAUUAACACAAAUUAUGUCUUUCAUCAUCUUUAAUUAGUUACAAUUGAUGGACUUCACUUCUAUGUACAUCAUGCAUGAUCCAAUCAUCAAAUCUUAGCAAUCCAUCUUCCUUAUCUCAAUAAUUCUAAAUCACUUGCAAGUGCAGACCUCCAUAUCUUACCAUCAAAAAAGAGAUGGGCAGCUAGCUGCAUGAUUUUUAACAGAGACAUGCAACUCAAUAACCAUUGCCUUGAUGAAGAUAGCCCUUAGUUGAUAACAUGUCUGUUGAGAAUUAUAUUUCAAGAGACAAGUGUUAGCAUGUCAAGAUAAUGGCAAACCCUAAAACGACAAAGGGUGGCAUCAUGGUGUUUUCUUUUGAGAAAAAGAAAGGCAACACCCACUUAAAUUGAGCAAGAUCAUAAAAUAUGGUGAAAGUGAGCAUCAAACCUAGAUCAUUGAUACGUGAAUUUCGAGUGACAUUUCCAGCUCAACCAGUUCGUGCCAGUAACAUAAUAAUUUUACUCUUCCCUGUAAAAAAAUAAAUAAAUUACACCACCAAGGUUAAAAUUGGAAUUUGCCAAUAAAAAAAAAAUAUGAGAUAGGCCUAAUCCGGUCCAUGUCGGAACGGACAUGAUUCAAAGCAGGCCGGCAGCUUCCUGGUCGGUACGAAAACAACGAAAAAACAUCAAGGGGGAGGGAGAGGAGAGGACGAAAGCAGAGUCCACGAGAAACCAUGGCAAAAACGUUAUAAAAAAGAAAGUCGAGGUCACUGUCCAAGCACCCUGGCAAAACCUACGACACGAAUCCACGCCGCCACAAGGAAACUGCUCGCUCUGGAUUGCUAUCUAUCUACCCCCCCUCCGAAACAGAAAAUAAGCAAACAAAAAAAAACUUUAAAAAGAAAGAUAACAUUAAAAAUUAACAAAGUGAGCAAAAUAAUCAAUAAAAAAUUAUAAUAUCCCGCCACGUAAGCGAAACGUAUCCUUCCCCAACACCGCCUCCGUUUUGUUUUCCCCUUCUCCCCGAUUUUUUCUCAAUUUUUUUACCUUUAAAUACGCCCAUCCUUGGCCUCUGUAACUCCCCGUCUCCGAAUUAUUUCUUCCCCGCUCUGUGUUUGCGUUCUCCACCGCUUCGAUUCGGUCUAUUCGAUUUUUUUCCCCAACGUUUUGGUUCUGUUGGGGUUUUGCUUUGGUAUUUGGGGGGCAAGAUCCCACCUUUAUAUAGAGCGCUCUCUUGUUUCGGGAUUUAGCGAUGGUUGGGGAGGGGAGGGGGUCGUGGAAUAGGGAGCAGGGCUACCGUUACAAGGAAGGAGGCAGUAGAGCGCAGAAAUCUUGGAGGCCGCCCCAUCCCCCUGGUAAAAUUGUUGAAUCAGGUCUUGAUUUCUUGUAAUUUUGAACGAUGUAAAUAUUGCUUCUUUGGCUUUGAUUUCUGGUUUCUUUAAGGAUUUUUCCUUGGUUGGUGCUUGUUCUGGAGAGUAUAGUUUUAUCUACAUUCCUGGCUUCCUCUUUGUUUGUUGAUUGAUUUGGGUUUUUGGUUUAGCUGUCUUGUGGUGUUUGGAUCUUUAUGAUUUCUUUUUGGGUAUGUGGAACUGGGAUUAGGUAAUUUGGUUUGGGAUGAGGACUGCUUUGAUUGCUUCUAUUUUCUAGGGGGUGAGGAUGAGGUGUAAUCUUAGGGAUGAUUUAAUCUAAAUCGAAUGUCAGAUUCUGUUGUAUAUUUUUAUUGGGUUUUGAUUUUGCUGAUGAUUAAGUGGACUUCCGUUCCAUGUACAUGGUGGGAAUGUUUAUUUGGGAAAUUGAGAUGAAACUGACUCGGAAGUUCUAAAUUGAGUAAUUGUGACCUGCAUGUCGUAGAUUCAAAAUGUGGAAACGGCAUCUCAGAGCGCAGGGUUAAGGCUGCGUAUAUUUGACUCUUCUCUGACCUCAUGGUGGUGGGAGUCUUGUGGGCUGCCCUUUUUAUUAUCACGAUCAUUAAUGAAUUAUUUGAUGUGUCUUGAGAAGUAGUUGCAUUGUCUUUAUCAGGACAUGCAAAAGCAUGAUUUUGAUUUUUUUUUCUCUUUUAGUAAACCAUUUGAUAAUAUUGUUUGUAGGACUUUUUAGUUUGUUUCGUUUUUUUAGUUGUUUUAUCUUCAUCAUGUGUAUAUACAGUUGUAUAUUUUAUUCUAUUGUUCUACUUCAAACCUAGGCUCCUUUUGAAGUUCUCUGGGAUGUUGUUCUUUUGUACACUGGAGUUAGAGAUGUGGAUUAAUAUUUUAUUUUUUCUAAUAAGUUUGUAAUCAUAAGGCUGAGAGUCCGGCACGUGAUCGGAGGGCUCUGCCUCCAAGCUAAAUGGUGUUUUUCGAACAAUAGACCUUUGAUUGCAAUAGGUUUUUCUUUUUGCUUUUUUCUUUUUGAAUGAAUGGAAUUCUUCACUUGUUCAUCUGGACUUUAAUCUUGAUAUGGGAAGUCCUAUUAUUUUUCUGAGAUAUUCUUUCACUUAUAAGAUUAGAAUGCUAGACCAUGUUGACAAUCAUUCUAUUAUGUGGUCUGCAUAUUUAUCAUUUCAAUUCUCAGUUGGUACUUUUCCCUUAUUUUGUGGUCACAUAAUAUGUUAUUGUCGAUUGGAGUUAUUUUCAAUAUAAAAUAUUAGUUUUCUUUAGGUGUUCUGUGGCUAUUGUUUUAUCAUUAUUGGAGUUCCAUGAUAGUUCUUGGAAUUGUUACUGUUUACAGGAUUGAAUCUUUGAGGUUGUGAAUUGAAGUGUUUAUUUUGGUUAUACACAAGUUAGAAGAAAGAAAUGUAAAACGUCUGCAAUAGGGCAUUUCAAUUUUUUUAAGAUUUAUUAAAUUCUAUAUACCUAGGGCUGCAAAUGAUAUCCGAUAUCCUGUUAAUGUGAUCCAAUUGUCAGUUAAUGAGUGCGAAUUUGAUUUGAGAAAGUAGAUCGAUAUCCUGAUUUGAUAUAGGCAGAAAUGAGAUGCAGUCAUGGACAGAUUUGGUUUUAGUCAGAAUCUGUCUACAAAACCAAAAGUUUUCAAGAAACCCUGUAUCACCUACUCUGCAACCCCACCAUGUCACCUUCUAUUCUUCUGCUGAUUGCAAACUGCCUUCACCACCCUAGUCCAUCAGCCCUGGUCCAAAAUCUCGUUGCUUUUGUUGUUUGUUUCCCUCUAUGUCUAAAUUGCAACUUCUAGCUUAUCCACCUUGAUCCUACAAUUGUCCAAACAAUCCUUGAACAUGAAUGAUACCUGAUAUGAGCCAGGUACAUGCAUACUUCAAGUUCAAAUGAAUGAAUUUGUUACAGUUUUCAUCCAAGACAUGAAUUCUUGUACAUUUAGAAUUAGAUCAAAUGGUAUUCGGAGCAACUAGACAAAACUGGGAGGACCUGUUAUGAGUCUAUGCAUAUUAGUCCCAAAAAAUUGGGUGUAGCCCUAUUAAACUUAAAUUCAACAUAAAAUCAACCUGAAGGGAACUUGACCCAUUCUGUUAAUUGAAUGAGUCAGAUCUUGGUAUAAAUCUCAGAUCCUGAGUCAUAUCAUGUCAAGUAAGAGUCAAGUUUCUUCAUACCAAAAUUGAUCUGCUUGCUGCCUUGUGCUGCUCCUCCAUCGCUUUUAGUAAUCUGCUAUCCCUUAAUCAGCUCUCGUGCAACUGUUAAAAAUCUUCAUCCUGAACUAUUCCAACUUGAAACCAUCACGCUGUGAUAAUCUCCUGUAACCAAUCUUGCCAACCACUAGCAGCUUCCCUAAAAAGACUGCGGCUUGCUGCAGUUUCUUGUCCACCUCCCACAUACACCAUCCUGUUAUUAUUUGAUGGGGAACAAAGGUUGAGAAGGAAAGUGAAUGGGUUGGAGGUGGUGCCAGCAAAUAUUGGCUUUUGAACAUAUGGAAGAGGGAGAAGAAUUAACACAAAACACAAGACUAUAUGAGAACGAGUUCUUGUUGUGGUCUUGAUCCUAUGAUCCUGAAUAGGUUUGAUUCCUGGUUCAAGUGUUGCCGUCUUAAUUGAGAUUAGAUAUAGUUUUGGACAUACAUUCAUACAUAGGUAUAUAUUUCUACAAUUUUGUGGUUGAUGCAUGUGCUUUUAGAAGGUGCAAAUCUAAGAUCUUUGUCUCCCUUCUCCAGUUCUUCCUUUUUGCAAAACAUUUUCUUUCUGUCAUAGAAAAGGAAGUGUAUGUUCAUGAUUUCAGUCCUUUAUUUAUAAUUCUUUGGAUGACCUGUUGGUGUGAGAUUUGAGUGCGUCUGGUCGUAUGUACCUGGCCGGUAGUCCCGCAUAAAACAAAUUCCCAAUACAUUUUGGUAUGGUUCGAGCAUGAACCCGAUAAACACUCUCCUUUUACCUGCUCCUUCUAUCACCAUGGCCAACCGACCAAAGAAACCUGUGUAGUUGAGUUGGGACAAGGUCGGUAAUUUAGGACCUACACAUUUCUCAAACCACUGCAUGUCCUUAUGAUAGGUCUCGGCGUUCCUUUAGGCAUGACUGUACAUUACUUGUUCAUACAUUGUGUAGUUCCUUUAGGUAUUCCAGUUUUCUGAAUGUUGGUUAAAUUCUUUUGCUAGCGUCUUAUGUAGUUGUUUGAACUUUUAGUAUCUAAUGUUAUUGUCCCAAAAGAUGCCUCUUUACUUUUUUCUUUUUCUAAAAAAAUUAGUUAUACUCUGUGUUACUAUUUUUCACUUUUCAGUAAGUGUUUGUUCUUUUAUUUUGUUUUUUAGGUUCCGAGAGUCCAUCAGUUCCUUUAUGGGAGAAGAAAUUCUGCACACGUGUGGGUGCAAUUCCAUGGAAGAGGUUUUGUGAAAACAAGAAAUUUAUUGGCAUGUAUAAAAAUGUGUUACAGUGGGAUGAUUCAGCAGCUUUAGAAGCUUUCCAGAAUGCAAAGGCCCGGUUCUAUGCAGAGUAUAAUGGCCUCCCUUAUAACAUCCCUUUGCCUGACCCAGAUAUGUAUAUUGAUGAGGUCGACCAAGAUGCUGUCAUUGAUCCUGAAAUGGUGGCAGAUUUAGAAAAACCACCUCCGGCCCAUGCUGAUGAGGAUAAUACUGCAACUAAUGGCUGGGAUUCCUUUAUUUUUACAAACCAACCAGUUCCAGCUUCUGGAUGGGGUGAUACAGAAGACCCUGUCCCUUCAAAUGAGAAAACUGGUGAGUGUGGCUCUGCAAAUUGGGAUGCUUAUAUUGAACAAAUUAAACCCAGUGGUUGGGGGGAUGCAGCUGAGCCCUACUCCUCAAGUUGGGAUAUGAAGAAUGAUUCUGGCAAUGCAUGGGGUUACAGUGGUGGAGGUUGGGGAAAGGGAAUUGCACAGGACAAUCCGUUGGUUGCUGGAAGUUAUAAUUACUGGAGAAACUCUUGGGAAACUUGGGAGAACAGAAAUAGUGAGCCAAAUAGAAGAAAUGGAAGAAAGAGAGAUGGAGGAGGCCGUUUUGGCUCAAGAUUUACGAAACCCAAAUACCAGGUGGAUGGUUAUCAAUCGAAUAGUAGAUGGAGUGAUUGCAGAGGAAGAAAUAGGGCUGACUAUCCUUAUCAGAAGACAGUCUAUGCUAAGCAGCCUCUGGCUAUGUACCAGUGAAACUCCCUGUGCUUGUCUUGGGUGAAAAAUCAUCACAGAUCAGCUGAAUGAGGUGUGCGUGGCAUGAGAGAGGUCCAUGUCAUAGUUUUUGUGUUAUAGCUAUAAGCAUUCCUUGGUUCUUUGAUUUUUUUUUGAAUAUAAUUUAUAUUAUUCUGCAAAGCACCCACGUCAGUAGUGCGAUAAAUCAGAUGUGAGUAAUGGUUUAUAUUAUGGCAUGUGGUCAGGCCGAAGACUUCUGCAGAAAGUAUCAAACUAUAGUGUUGCCAGCUUUAAUUCAGUUUUUGUUGAUGACUCUUGUGAGCGUUAUUUGUAUUUCUUAGUGUUGAAAAAUGAAUUAGUUGUUUCAUAUAGCUUGCAAUAAGCUAUUUUUGAGAGAUCUUGCUUUUUUAUUGGUACUCAUAAGCAACAUUAUGAUUAUAUUUGAACUUGUCCGCUAAACAUCUUGUCUUUCUUGCAAACAUGGAGCUAGCUCACUACAUGUUGGCUACCUAUCUACAUUGAAUGGUGUAUGCUAUAAGCAUGCUUAAUUUUGUAUCUGUAUGUGUAUUUGGCUAUUUUGAUUAUAUUCCAUUUGUUUCAAGAAAAGCAAUGGCAGUAACUUUGGACAUUUGGCUUUAUUUUUGUUGGCUGUAUCAUAUAUUUUCAUUUUAUUCUCAUUUAGUACCAUAUUCUUGGUGUAUUGAUAACUGUCUUUUAUCCUGGUUAUUGUCUUGUCCAUAUCAAUAUCAAGUAUAUGGCGUGUUUACACAAGUGGUUUGUGCUGCAUGAAUUACACAGAACAUUUGGGGCCCUGGAAUGUUCUUCCUGUUUUACAUUUCAACUAAAGUUCUCUUCUCAGCUAAAUGGAUACAUUUAAACUUGUUAACUAAUUUUUGUAUCAUAUUUGUUUGCAGGUCCAUACAGUGUUGUUGCAUUGCAUGUGUAUGUACUUAAAGACUAUUAAGAAGCUGAUGGAGUCUGUAUAGUCAAGUUUCAAUAAGUUGGUAAGAAGUUUAAAGGAAAAAACCAUAAAAUGUCAUUCAAUAACCAAGCUAAAUCAUGCAAAAUUCGAUAAUUUUGUUUGGAUUUGAAAAAAUCUGUAUAAUGUGUACUAACUGCAUGCAGAUUGCGGAGCAUGAUUUUUAGGAGUUUUUCUUGGCCUAUGUGAUGAUAUAAACAAUAUCUGAACUCACUCUAAAAACCAUACAGCAUGAAUCUGCUCCCUGUGAUCAUAUAACAUUGCCACACUGUUUCACAGAAAGGUAUUGUAUCAUGUAGUCUAUUUUGACAUAAUAGUUAGCAGACUGUGUGGCCCAGUCUUCUUAAUUCAUCCAUCUCAACUACAUCCCUAACUCAUUUUUGAUGUUUUCUCAAUGCCAAUGAUACUGCAAGAUCUCACUGUUCUUAUGUGAAUAUCUGUCGCUUUACACUGUGCUGUCCUCGUUGAAACUUUCAUUUGCUUAUCUCAAAACUUGUUAGAAUGCAUGUGCUUAUGCAUGUGUACCCAAGAAAAGAAUAAUUUAGGAAUUGGAAACUGUAAUAUAGAUACACAAUUUGUAAGAAUAUCAAGAGUAAAUUAUAAAAAUCUUCUUGAGGUUUGCGUUUAUUUCACUUAAACCUAAUAGUUUAUAAAACCUAUACUUACACCCAGUUAAAUUAACAACGUUAGUGAAUUCGUUUAUCUCAUGUGAAAAGUGAAAAUUGCCUCUGAGUGAUGAGUGAAUUACAACUCCCUUAAAAUUAGGUAAAUUAUACUUACAUCCAAUAGUUUGAAAAACCUACGCUUAUUCCCUCGAGGCAUAGUCUGCUGUGUUGGUACCGAGCUCUGGACCGGUCGUUAGGUGGCACGGGUCGGUACGGGUCCGCGUUGUGCCGCAUCGUGCCUGUACCGAUACAGUAGAAUAGACGGAAGAGAGAGAAAAAGAGAGAGAAGAGGGAGGCUAGAGGAGGGCUGGGGAGCCGUCAUGCGGAGGAGGCAAAUGAAACAGGAGGCCGGAGCGAAGCCCCUCUUCCGUGGCUCCCUCCUCUGCGCAGCGGCUUCCUGGCCUCCGCCGGUAGGUCUCGACCUUUCUUUCUUCCUCUCCCUCUCCCUCCCUUGCCCGCUCUUUCUCUUUUUCUUUUUUCCUUCUCUUUCUUCCCCUCCAUCGCUGGUCUCGUUUCGUCGCCGAAACUGUCUCGGUCCGUGGCCAGUACGGUUCGGGAUGCCCCAAACUGGACGGCUCGGGACAAUUUCGCCGACCAUGCUCUGAGGUUUAAUUUUAUCCAAUACCUUAAUUCAUAACUUAACAUAAUGUUAGCCAAAUUGUUUACUUAAAUAAAAUCUAAAUGUCACAAAAAAAUAAAAAAUAACCAAACUAGCCUUAAGUUAUAUAACAUUCAUAAAAAAAGGAGAACAACAAUGAGGUGCCAUAGGUCUAGAGCUUGAUCUUGAUGAAUCAUCAGAAAAUAGCUAUAUGCCAAGGAAAAAACAAUCUAGAUCUCUUAGGCAAGUGGAUGCCUCUAAAAUUUUUUGCUGCAGGGAACUAGUAUCAAGAGUUUUGUUGCUUGAGCCAGCUUGUUCAUGGUCUAAGCCAGGCUAUGGAACCGCAACUGAUGCACCCUCCAAAAGAAGUUCUCAUGUAUGUACUGAUUUGGAUCCUUGCCAGAGCUAUCAUAAUUUUAUAUGUAGACAUAGAAAUUUUCAUCCACAAUGACAAUUUUAAGAAAUCAUAUCUAUAGUAUUGGAUAAGUAGAUAUUAGAAUCAUCAAAUGAUACACUGGCAUUUUCGAUCUAUGUGACGUGGUGGGCGGGAAAGCAAGAACAAAACCGGAUCAUGAAGGACGCUCGUUGCUCGAUGCUAGUCAGAAAUUAAGGAUGCUCGUUGUUGGAUGCUGGUUGGGAAGAAAGCUUGUCGUUAGUCGCUCAUUGAGAAGGGAUGCUCAUAGUGUGGUGGCAAAGCGAGAAAAAAAUUCUAGACGCUUAAUCUCAAAGAGAAGAAGACUCUUAAAAAUGGAAGACUUCGAAGAGAUUGGGGAGUCGGAAAAGUGAAAGAUGAGCCUUAUUUUCUUAAAGGAGCAAUUUUGACUUUUUAGAAUAGUUAAACAGUUUUACUAAUGCUGUCAAUUUAACUAGGUAUAACUGUAGAAUUUAUAAAAUAUUGGGUGUAAGUGUGAUAAACGUAAACCUUAGGAGAAUUUUUGUAAGGUUAUUUUGGUCAUUUUAAAAAAAUUUUGACGUGGCACCAUUAAAAGUUAACAGUUUGACUAAUAUUCUGUUAAGUUAUGGGUUAAAGUAUUGGAUAAAAAUAAACCUCGGGGUAAGCAUAAGUUUUUUAUACUAUUGGAUGUAAAUAUAUUUUACCCCUAAUCUCAAGAAAGUUUUUGUAAUUUACACGAAUAUCAUUUUUGUUCUAUUUUUUCUCAGUAGCAUUGUCUUAAAGGCAAGUAGAGUAGUAAAAUUUUGUUUGUAGAAUUAAAUGCAAAGACUAAAGAUAAAUAUGAUGCCUACUACAUAUAUCUUUUGACAUACUGUAGACUAGGUUGAUUUAAAUAUAGCAAUAGUUCAUGAAACCUCAAAAACUUUAUUUUGCUGGUUGAAUUAGUGCAUGUUCUUGCAUUCCUUUCUUGAUUAUAUGAAUAAGCAACCAUCAAGCAUCCCUUGUGUUUCAUUGUUAUUCCCGAGUUCACGCAUGCACACACACACUAUAUUAUUAAAUGACAGAUAUUUUCCAUAUUAAAUUUCAUUUAUUAAGAUUUUGACCAGAAUACCCCUAUUUCCUCUCUUCAUGAAUAUUUGCAAAGAAUACGUUUAAGAAGUUAGAUAUAUGAUCCGCGUGCACCUCUGUUUACUUCUGCAUCUCUAUCUCUCAUCUACUUGGUUUCUCUUAGACAUUCUGAACUAGUUGGACUUUAUUUUUGAAAAAAAAACUCUAAUUAUCUCAUCCGCAUCUCCAACCCAUUGGACUCUAUUUAAAAUUUAAAAAAAACAACAAAAACAUUGAUGCUCUUUCUGUAAUCCGUGUAUUUUAUCUCUCUUAUCUCCCAAUCCAUUGCAGUCUUUUUUUUUAUUAAUUUAUUUUUAAACAUACAUUUCACGAAUCUGGUUGCUAGUGUAUGUGUAUGUCUGUAUGGAUAUGUCUCCUAAGACCAAGGUUUGCCAUCUUGGUACUGGACCCCAUAUUGGCCCUAUUCUAUUAUAGUAUCGAUACGCAUUACGGUACGAGGCGGUGAGGCAUAUCGAUUGUCGAUACGGUAUGAGACUGCAUACCGGUAUGGUACGGUGCGUCCUGUACAAUAUAGUACUGAUCGGUACGGCAAGCCAUGCCUAAAACUAAUGGUUCUUGGCUUUCCAUUUAUCGGUUUUAAAUCCUUCUUUUGAAUUUCUAUCAAAAAAAAAAAAUCUUAGUUCCUAGUUGAAUGGAAAGCCUGCUAAAGCUAUAUUGAAAGCAUAGGGUCAUAUACAUGCAUUUAGAGAGCACAUUAUAUUUCAUUCAAUGGAAGUAGAAAUGGCACCUCAAGGUCUUAAAUAUAUUGCAUACACUAAAAAUUUUUAAAAGGAGAUUGAUAAUUGAAUUGUAGUCCAAGAGCUUCCAAGUCCUGAAACAACUUAAUGCAAUAAAGAUUUAAAAUUAUAUUACCAAUUAAAUUUUAGAAAGGAAAAUUGAAUUGAUAUGUAAACCAAUAAGUUCCAACUCCUAAAAGUCUCAAUGAAAUAAAGAUCUAAAUAGAUAGCUAGAGUAAAAAAAUAUUAAAAUAGGAAUCUGUCUCUUUUUUAAGACAUUUUCAUUGUUGAGUGACAAAUCCACAUCAAAUAAAAAAUGGGGAGUCCAUCUCCAAGACAAUAGCCAUCUCACCAAUACAAGAAUUUAUCUAAUAAUAUGGGCAUAGAUUCAAGUUGAUAGCUAGACUUGACCCAUCCGAAAUUAGACUCAAUAUGAUCCAUGAGGUUGACCCAAUAAUCCAAAAUCCUUCUGAAUUUAGUGUGAUCUGAAGAUCGAAAUCUCAUAUCACCCAGGUUGAUCUCAUGAUCAAUCGAAAAGUUUCAAGGAUUUUAUCAAGAGAGAGAGAGAGACAGCAUGGAAACCAGACAAAAAUACAUAUAAAAGGAUCAGGUUUCAUGCAAUAAUAGCAGCUGUAGUAGAGCAUCCAUAGAACUCCCAACCUUUCUUUUAAAUUCUUUUGUAGUAGAUGAAUACAUGUUAUAACACGUUAAGAAAGAUGUUCUAACAUACUAUUAUCAUAAUCUCCUUAUCUUCUGUUACCCUUCUCUCUCUUGUUAUUUUAUUAUUUAUUAUUAGUAUCUUGAUUUUGAUGAGAUUUUGUUAUUCUUCUUCCUAGUAAUCAUGGGAAUGAAUUUGUCCUUUGGUGGGUCUUGGUAUCAAGUUUGACCUUGUGAAGCCAACAAUUGUUAGCUUGGUGGUUGGCACCUCUUCUCUAAGGACUUGCCUCGGAGUAGGUCUAGGGUACAAAUCCUGGUUAUUUCUCAAAAAAGUUUGACCCUGGGAAGUCUUGCUUUAGGAGUUCNNNNNNNNNNNNNNNNNNNNNNNNNNNNNNNNNNNNNNNNNNNNNUGGGGAAUUGGAGGAGUUUGUGAUGUCCUGUGAAUAGCUUGCUGGGGUGUACAGUUUGGUCAAACUUUAUGUGAAAGCAUUUUGGUAGGGGGAUUUUCUGGGAGGAGACUUUAUAUUAGCAGGCGAAGGAAAGAGGGUUUAAUGCAGGUUUUUGGGUUGAUAUUUCCUUCCAAAUUCAUCAUGUAGCCAGUUCCUAUAAUGAACACAUGAAGAAAAAUUGCAUCUUGGUGUAUGACUAAGACUGUGAUUAUAUAAUCAUCUCACUUUUUCUGGAUGUCAUUGUUCAGAUCUCUUAUUGAAUGUCAAUUUUACAUGGUAUUUAGUUAGUGGCAGUCAAUUUGCUUCAAACAGUAGAAAAAUUACACUGCAAAUUUGUUGUGUUGCUAAUUAAAUUGGUGGCAUGCUGUUUUUGUGCCAUAUGGAGCCCCUUUCUUACCAUUGAUUUCUAUUUUAUUGUCCAUCUCAUUUUCUAGUCCUUCAACUUUAAAUUUUGCCCACUCUCUUUAAUCAUUUUUGUUAGUUGUGAUUUCUUUUUGGGACUUCUCUGUCAGCCUCAGGAGUCAUAGUUCAAAAUUUUUUAGUGGCUUGUCAAAAUGUUGAGAUUUGCAAGAUAGCUGACAUGAUAAAACCUCAUGCUAAAUUCAGGAAGAGACUAAGAGUGUAAUCUUAGGAGUACAAGACAUUUAGAAAAUAAAAGAAAUUGUAUUUUUGCAAUGUGACUGGGGGUUUCUUUGUUUUUAUUCCCGUCAAGGCAGUUGCAUCAGUAGUAUACCUAAUCGUCAAGCAUUACAGGUGAAUCAAUCCAAUUAGCACAAUUGUACGUUGACUUGUAAAUUUGGAAGAGGUCAAGAAUAAGUGUACAACAUUUCAGAAAGUAAAACUGAUUGGUUGUUUUUAAAAGCAAAAUAAUGUUUGUUUCUUCUUGUUUCCACUUGGUGAAGUCAUAUGUGUUGCCUAUACUUUAGAAUGAAUGCUUGUAGUUUUUAUGUACAUCAAGCUAAACAGAAGGGGUACACUAAGAGGUGCUUCCUCCAAUUACUAUGAUAAUUCUCAUCCUUCUUUUCAGUUUACUUAUCUUAGGCUAUUUUAGGCUUCUUUGUGCAAAGAGAUGGGCAAUCUGCACCAUGACAUUUUCUGAUAGCUUGUUCAAAAAUUCAGCAUGUAUUUCAAUUUCACAUAUAUUUAUGAAUUCUGGAGAUUGAUGUUUGGAAUUGGAUCUUCUUAGCAAGAAGUAGUGUUCCUUAUGUUACUUAUUUCCUCUUGUUCCAGGCAAGUGCAUUCUCGUAUUUUAUGCUUAGCAUUAGAGCUUUUAGUUCAUCAAGUCUGGUGGUCUUGAUAAAGUAGGGUGAGAGUAGUUAUGUUAGCUUAUGAAUUUGUUUUAGUUUUCUACAUCUGUCGCUUGUGCAAAAAAUGUUGAAGAUUCAUGUUUAGAUGUUCUUAACAACAAGCAGUGUUCUAUGUUCUUAUUUCCCCUCGUUCAUGGCAAGUGAAUUACUCAUAAAUAAUUGUGCUUAGCAUGAGAGCUUUUAGUUCAUCAAGUCUGGUGGGCUUGAUGGAGUAGGUUUGGUGUAGUUAUGCCAAUUCAUGAAUUUGUUCUAGGUUUCUAGAUCUAUCUUCUGCUUGUGUAAAUUUCUGGUGGAUUUCUUACAGAUGUUUCUUUCUUUUUUCUUCUUUUUCUUCUGUGCUUUGUAAUUCAGGUUAGCAACUUAGAGGAACAAGAGAUUGCAUUCAUUAUUUCCAAUAAAAAUAUAGUUACCUGCAACUGCUGCUUGCUUUUGAUUCCAGUUGUUCAAAACCACGAGCUAUCAGGUAAAAAGGAUUUGUGAUAGACCCGGUAAAUUCAUUCUGCUGGUUUGAGAAUUAUAUCAACUAUUGGAGACCAGCAUCACUGUGAUUGUUGUGAUAAUGAUACUCUGGCAACUUGAGAUGUUUUACAAGGAUCUAGGUUGGCAUGGCUUACUUUAGGUUGUCAUUUGCACUCACUUAGCGGUCUGGCUUCUUGGUCAGGUAGAAUCUGCUUGUAAUUAGCAGAGGUUACCCUCUCAAAUUAUGUCAAGAUUCACUAGGAUUCAGCGAAUAAAGAAUUAAUUUGCAACAGGAAGAGCUACUCCUGUUUGGUUUGUGGGAAAGGUAAGAAACAUAGGGCUUUUUAUAUUCUCUCUCAUGUUGGUGAGCUAUUAGGUACAGGAGGGGGGUCAGAUCUUCAGUGGAUAAAGAUGUAGGGAUAUUCACAUUCAUUAAAUUCUAGGUGUUCAGCUUAAAGCAAGCUAUCAACUUGAUGCUAGGAUACCAGGGUAGGUGUAAACUUCUGGAUACCCCAUGAACACCUCACGGAUGUAUCAUGUUUAAAUGUAAUUGUUUGUGAUUAGGUAGGUCAGAUUUGAAAUCGAUAGGUCAACACCAUUGUCAUCAUCAGGAUCCAGGUUAAAUAUUUCCCUGCCUUGUGGUGGUGGUCAACAACUUCACCGGAGAACUUGUAAUUCAGAUUUUUGAAACAGAUGAUGCUUCAGCAUGUCCAAUUGUUGCAAUUAUUGCAACUGGGUAUGUCGAAGUUGAUUCUGCUCUUGUUCAAGACAGUUCCCCUCCCUCUCUCUCUCUCUCUCUGAGUCUCAUGAUCAGCUUAAAAUUUUCUCCAUGACUUUUCCUUCAAUGAUUUACAUAUUGGCACCCCAGUUUUGGAAGAGAGAUUUCAUCAUUUUAACUGCCUCUUAAUGUGUGUGUUUUCUUUGAGGCUGCAUGUAUCUUUGCAAACAAGUUGCAUGCUCAACAUUUCGUCUUUAGCCCUGUUGACUUUGUGAACUGGAGGAAACCCAAGCAGGAAGUUGCCAAUUUUUCAGUUUGACUUGUAUCAGAAAAAGAAAGAACGGGUUUAAGACAUGCAUCCAAGCGCAAUAUUGUUUGGCCAAGUUCUGUGAAGAUGUCGAGGCUGAUGGCUAGGAUGGUUGAUUUGGGGUUUUAUUGCUCGAGUCAUUUCAGAAUACAAUGGGACUACGUUCUAUUCGUCAGCAAUGGCGGCAUUAUUCAAUUUCUGGUGAGGUGUCUUGAUUUUGGGUGCCCAGGUAAAUGGCAGCAAACUAGUCUGUACAUGCUGAAAGUAAGGACUGAAAGUUUUUGAGUUGAUUAUUAUAUUUCUGUGAUUCCUUAAGGUUGAAUCUUUAUACAAGAGUAGGGGUGGCAAUCGGGUCGGGUCGGAUAUAAACGGGUCGGAUCAGAUGCAAUCGGGUCAGAAAAUCAUAAAUCUGAACGUAAACAAGUCCGAAAAUGAUAAAUCUGAACCCGAUCUGUUUAAUAAACAGGUAAUCCGAUUCGAUCUGUUUAACAUAUUUAAUAAAGAGGUAAUCUAUUUGGCCAACCCGACCCGAUAAAAGCAUCAUCCAGAUGGUGCUCGGCUUAGAAUGAGAAGGAUAUUUUUGAAAGUAUAUUAUUUCUUUUAAGUUGGUCCGGGGAUAGGAGGCGUGGCGAGUUAGGCGUGGCUCCCUGGCUUUCCUCUGGAAAGAAUACCCACAAUCUCGCAACCUUGCAAUCAAAAUUUUUGGUAUACGGAAUGUGUUGGUAAAAUGUAUGUCUUGUACACGUGGUUUACCCUCUAAUAUAUGCUUAUCUAGUGAAUGACUCAUAUGAGAUAUGUUAUUAACUUAUUAUUAUAACUAAAUAAAUCACUAGUACAUGGAAUUUAUAAUCUAAUGACUAAAAACAUAUAAAUGUGUGACGCAUCUGCAGCUCCUUAAUUGUCAUAUUUUUUUUAAAAAAAUCAAUAUUAGACUUUUAAAUAAAAUUUCUAUAUGAUUUGGAGAAAGAUAUAGUUCUUGCGGCGCUCUCUCUCUCUCUCUCACUCUUCAUCAGUUUGAUUUUUACUCAAAUUCAAAAACACCCGCUAAAACACUUCGUCAGAAUAACUAUUUUUAAAAAAUAACUAAAAAUUAGAAUAAAUCUAGAAAUAGAAUACUAAAAUUAUUAAAAUUAAUGACCAACUAAAUCUAACAUUAAUGACAAAUCCGGUAAUCCAUUGAACAUGAAUCUAAUUAUGUACUUCUUUUCCCUAUCAGCGCAUAACGUGGAACCUCCAACACUUGGAUCCACAGCGAACGCAAGAAAAUCCAAGGUAGCUCCUAACUAGGUGAAAACAGGGGAAUUACCUGCCAUGCAACAUUUCUGACAUUAGUUCUCCGACAAAUCUAAAAACCUGCAGCGUCUUGCACCGUUUUUUUUUUAUUAAUUACCUUCCAGAAAAAAAAAGUCAGGUUUCAAGCAAGUACGGCCCCAAAGUUACAUUUCAAAGAAUUCUUAUUUCUCUAAGAAAAAAAAAAAAGAAGAAGGAAAAGUCGAGUGAAACCUCAAAGAAAGCGCAUGCUUCUGGGAGAAGAGGAAAGCCCGCCUAGAUGUUGUUGGGCAGGAGAAAAUGCUGCAAAUAAAGCAAGCCAUCAUCCACUCCUACGUACCUCCAAUCAGCAAUGCUCAUCAACCCCAUACUCAUCCUCGCCACUCUCCUCCUCCCAGCUUCCUCAUCUCCAUCCCCAUCGUCGGAGAACUCUAGCCCCAAUUCAGCCUCCAGCCCACCACCCAUGCUCGCCGAGCAACACCCCGGGCUCGGCAGCCCCUCCGAGAACCACAGCCCGUCCCCUCCCACCGCCCGGCCCUUCCCGACUCUGUCCAUCAUUGCAAAAGCCCCCCUCCACCCCUUCAUGACUACCGUCCAACCAAUCUUCACCACCUCCCCCACCUCCAAGCUAGCAUCUCCAUCGUUAACCGCAGCUUCGAAUCGGAAAACUCCACCAUGAUGGCCGCAAAGCUCCUCGCCGGGCUUCGCAAGCGAAAGAACGGGUGCGUCGCGUUGGAAGAUGUCGACGGCGAAGAUGAGAUGGCGGAGGGAGAUGCGGGGGAUGGAUGGGUUGCGGUGGCGCCGCUGGGACGAGGUGCGGAGGAGCGCGAAGAGGCGGCGAGCCGAGAGCGAAGGAUCGGUGGCGACCAAAUGGAGCGACGAAGGGUAAUGGGAGAGGCAGAUCGGUCUCCAGAGACGGUCCGAAGACAUGACGGAGUACCAGGACUUGGAGACACAGCAGGCCUUGGCGAGGGUCUUGGGGUCCAAAGUUUGGGCCAAGAGGAGGACCACUUCCCAUGGGGGCGACGGCGGCGGCGGCGCCAUGUUUGAGGCUCUCUUGGAGGGAGGAGCCGGUGAUGAUGAUGACGCCAUUAUUCUUCGCGCACGCAUUCUUUCCUCUCCCAUAUUCUUCUCCGGUCUCGAGCGGUUUGAUCGAUUUACGCCGUUGUCAGGUGUGAUCAUCACGUCCUGCCACGUGGAGCGGGUUGGCAUGCUCGAUUGCCACGUGUCACGUUCGGGGGAGAGCGUGGCGACUUCAGAUGGACACGCGAUCGUGGAAGACGGCCUGAUGGUUACCACGCGGAUUUUGGCAUGGGGGUGUCAGGUGUGACCUCACAAAGCAUCGUGGAUUUCUUUCAGCUCUCUGACACGCGCGCGAUGCGAGAUACAAAAUUGGAGUAUAUCCACGAUGGAUAUAUUCUAAAACUUGUAAAACCAAAGUCCAAAAACCAAAAAUUAUUUAAUUUAAUUUUUUUCCUUGUAGCACUCUUGCUGAUGGCAUCUGGUCCCUUUCGUUCUGUAUCGUCCACCCCAUAGAUCUCUCUCUCUCUCUCUCUUUUGUUUGACUAAAACUAAAAGGGAGGCAAAUGCCGACCAAAUUUAUCCAAGCAAAGAAGAAUGUACAAAGCGAAGAAACAGAACAUGUGGCACCAGCAGGAGCAGGACUCGAACCAAAGCGUUGCCAGCCAGAAAAGUAGGAGAUGGAGAUGGACAGAAUAGUAAACAGAGCGACAAAAAGAAUGCUAAAGCUUAUCUUCACAGAGAGAAUAAAUUGGAGGAUGUUCCCUUAAAUGUAGGGUGCAAAUGGGUUGGGUUGGGUUGGAUUCUGGAUGACUCCAAUCCAAUUCGAUUUUUUGUUUGGGUUCUAAUUUUGGAUCUAGAUCCGACUCAGUUAAAGAUCAGAUCGGGUCGGGUCUGAGUUGGGUUCGGGUCCGAGUUGGGUUGGGUUAGGAUUCUAAUCGGAUUUAUUUGUUUUAUGAUUUUGGGAAAAAAUUUGGACAAAUUUAAUUUGGUCAUAUCAUAAUUAUGAGGUGCUGGGUGACCCAUGAAAGACUUGCAAUUGACCUCCACUCAGAACAGAUGAGCCAUGACUUACUAACUAAGUCGGUCUACAAGCCAAAUUUCGUAUCACACUAUUUUUUGUCUAUAUGACUGAUUGGACGGAACUUGGUGUCUCCCAGCUCCCCUCUCACGAGGACAAAAAAAAUCCCAGACCUCCUUCCAAAAUCCAAUUCCAUUGCAGAAAACUAGCAAAUGACCCAUAUUCAGUUCAGUGUUCCCUCGCUGCCUCCAUGCAAAAGUUAAAAAAAACAAAAACCAAAAAACGGAAGGAAAAAAAAAUCCAGCUACCGAGACACCAGAGGUAUCAACAGUGUAAUAGAUCGAGAGAGAAUCCCGACAGACCAAUAGUGCCACGACCCACAUACACACACACACACAAAAUCUCUUUUUUGCUUUUCCCCCUCUCUCUCUCUUCGGGUCCAUUCAGAUCGGAUCGGGUCCGUUCAGUAAACCCAGACCCAACCUAGAAAAUAAUUCGGGUCCAAUUUUAGGACCCAACCCGAACCCGCGGAUCCUAAAAUUCGAAUUGGACCGGGUCUACGCGGGUCGGGCCAGGUCGGGUCUCGGGUCGAUCCGACCAUUUGCAGCCUUACUUAAACGAGGGGCUAUCUGGCUAAAUACCUCAGGAGCCUAUCUGGUUAAGCACAAAAAGUUAAAGAGAGAGAAGGGAUAAUUCUAAACCGUAAUAUUGGUGGAACAAAGUUAUCCCAUGGAAUAUAAGAAACUUAUCCUCUCCAAUUACUAUGUUGCACUCAUCCAUCCUUUAAACACACCAAAAACUGAGAGGGCAAUUUUGUCAUUGUCAUAAAAAAAUCAUUCCAAAAAUUCAACUAGUUAUUUAUUACCUACAUUUAUUCCUCUAAUCAAAUACCCUCUAACGAGUUGGAAAAUCAAUUUGUAUUACGCAUAUUAAUUGGAUGAGUUUGUUAGUGCGGAUCCCUAAUUUAUGCCUCCAUCUAAUCUUCCUAAUUAUAUUUUUAUAACAUAAAUUACAACCUAAAACAAUGCCUUGGUAUGUUUUUGAUCUGAAUUGGCCAAUUUUGGCAAUGGUGCAGAGGGAGCGGAGAUAGGACAGAAGCUCUAUCAAUGAGAUUGCCUAAGUUGACAUUACAUGCUGUUGAGUAUGUCUUGAGUUUUCAAGCUUUAGAGAGGUAGGAAGAGACCUUUUUUUCGGAAGUGGUGUAGAGCAUAGCUUAGCUUUCCAUCAUAGACAAGGUCACAAAUAUUUGGCUUCGGGAAAAUAUGAAUGGCGGAUAUAUGACACAGUAUAAUUUCAUGCUAAGUGCUAUGUUGGGAUAGCUAAGCCUACUAAGCCUUUAUUUUAUUUUUACUGCUUUUUGAUAUAUAGUCUAACUGAGAAUUGUUGCAUGGGCCAAUAGAUUAAUCAAGUGUAUGUUUCGAAUUGCAUAGUAAUGUUUCUAUCAAUAUCAGUUUAUAUGCAUAAGGAUGCAUUCCUAGCUAUCUUGCAAAAAUUCAAAAGGUUGUAGGGCACAUGAACAACAAAUAAACCUACAACCUCCUUUUAACAGAGUGGAGGUACCAACCUCUUGGGCUAAAUUCGAGUGUUUCGUUGGGAGCAUAGCCUUAAACUGGACCGUAGGUCCAUAAUAUACGAGGUUGUGUGAGGAGUCAGGUCGAAUGAAACCUAAUUAUGGUAUUGAGUCUCUUGUUCUCAAAUGUGGUUGGGACAAUAUUUGGUUCAUCAUAUCCUUGAGUCCACCUGAUCCAUUUGCACCCCAGUUGGACUGGGAUGAGUUAAUUAAACGCUCAAGCUAGCUUUAAAGCCCCUCAAUCUUCCAAGAGAUUUCCAUGGCUAGCAAAUCUCGCAAUAGAUUUCUAUGUGGUCAUAGAAUCAUACUAGACCAACAGGUGGAAAAUUUAUAAAGAGGCCGUCCUUCUAGUUUUUAUAAUACAUUUACCUCUCUACCAUUACAAAACUUAACCACUAGAAAGAUGGGGACGGCAGCACAAUUUUCUAACAUGUCGAGGACCCUAUCUUUUUGAUGGAAGGACCGAGGAGAGAAUUAGGAAACACAAUAAGUGGAGUAGUAUCUCAGAGAAGAAGAUUUUCACUACCAGUCCUUAAACAGCUGCCUUAAUGCCUUCUAUGACGCCCAUGGGACUUCUCAGGGGGGAGAGAAAAUUAGUGUGGUAAGAUAGGGAGAGAUCAGUAAUUUUCUCCAGUUAGAACUCAACACUGCAGAUACAUCUAUAUAUGGUAUCAAGAACGAUAUCCAGGAAAGGAUAAUCUCUGAUUUGGACAAUCUCUGCAGAUUCAUCACCAUAAAUGGAACUGAGGUAAUUGUCCUAUAUAAAUCCACCUGAUACUCUUUGCAGGCACAAAACAAUACUUCACAUCACAGGAGCAAACAUGGCCAAACAAUCCACCCUCAUGGCUUCGUUUGUACUACUUCUCUUGCUGAUGGCUUCUGGUCUCUCUCUCUCUCUNNNNNNNNNNNNNNNNNNNNUCGUCUCUCUCUCUCUCUCUCUCUCUCUCUCUCUCUCUCUCUCUCUCACACACACACACACACACACACACACACACACACACACAUGUUGUUUAAACUUGAUAAUGUUUUGUACUAAUUGUCAAAGAGAUCAGGAUUUGCCUAAUCUUUUUCUGCAAAAAAAAAGAAGUUUUGUAGUAAUGGAAGUUAACAAGGUCAGUCUUCAUUUUAUGCAGGUCGGGCAAUUUCGACAGCUCCCGGAUUCGAAGCAGAUGCAUGCAUGAGAGAUGCUGAUUGCCGGGCUGAGUGUGGGAAGUGCCCCGCUGCCAAUUGCCUCGGCCACAAGUGCUUCUGCACAUGCGAUACCUGAUGGCCUAUCCUUCUCUAAAAAUAAGAUCCAUCAACAUGGAUGGAGUAGCACAAAGUCGCCUUCAUGAAUCCCAAGUGAUGCUGCGGCCUUUGUAUCAGCUAAGUUAAAUGCAAUAUAGAGCUUCAAUAAAAAGUUCUCAAGAAAAAAGUUCAACAAAAAUGCUGUGUUUUGUCUUCAGAUGUAUACCGUUUCUCGAACAAAAAUGCUGUCCACCAUGGAGUUGGUUUAUGUCGCAAUAUACUCCCCUCCUCAGCCCGCUUUCAGCCCGAUUUUAGGAUUAGGGUUUGUGAAAUGGCGCCGCCGAGCUCUAUUCCUCUAUUCCCUCAAUGUCCGGUGUCCCUCUCCCUCUCCUCAGUCUCCUCUCCUCCAUACCUCAAGUCCACCUCCCCAUGGCUACUCUCUCCUCCUCUUCUCGCCCUUCUCCUCCUCCUCCUCCUCCUUCUCCACCCUUCCUCCUCCUCCUCCAAUUCGACGGCUCCGAAGAAGCCUUCUUCCAGAUCCAACGGCGCCGAGGUCGCCGGAGACGACCUUUUGGUAUCCUGCACCAACUANGGCCCUCCACCUGGGAGAAGAUCUCCGUCGUCCCCCUCGACAUCAACGGUCUCAAGCAACAUGUCUCCUCCCUCAGCGCCUUUCCAUCCUGCCUUCUUCACUCCCUCUUCCUCUCCCUCGCUCGCCGCAGCCCCCACUCCUCCUCCUCCUCCUCCGCCGCCAUCGACGAGUGGUGCCUCCCCGCGGCGGAGCUGUCCCGAAAGCUAGUCCAUGCCACUCGGAAAUGAGACGAAGCCCUCCUCGAGUCCUCCCGUCUCAAGCACUCCCUCGCCAGGCUGAAGCGCAAGCUCGGCCGGCUCGAGUCCCACUGUCACGACCUGCAGGCCGCCCUCGACCGCCGCUCCUCGCCAACCCUGCUCCAGACCACCUCCCCUUUCUCAGUCGAGACCUUUCUUCAGGUCGUCUCCGACGCCCGUGCCGCGGGCCGCCACCUGAGCUGCUCCCUCGCCGCCCAACUCCGUCCGGACCGGAUGGCAGCCUGCUCCAGCUCCACGACGCCAGGGCCGCCUGCCAGUGGCGAAGAACACCGGGCGGACCGCUCUUCUAAGGCCCUGUUUUUCGGUUAUUUUUUGAAAUUUUCUGUGAUUCUUUUUUCUUCUAUUUGUUCCCUCUUUCUUUCCUUUUUUUCUUUUUUGAACACAGAAACUUUUAUUAAUUCUGAAUAUUAAUAGUUUUGAACGCAGAUUAAAUGGAUCGGGUUGGGCAAAUAGGUUAAAUAGGUUGGGUUAGGAUAAAUAAGGCUAAACAUGUUAAAUAGAUCGGAUCAGGUUGGGCAAACGGUUACCUAUUUAUUAACCAGGUUAAACGGAUCGAAUCGGGUUAUUUGUUUAUUAAACAUGGCAGGUUUAGAUUGUAAUUUUUGACCUGUUUAAUAAACAGAUUGGGUUCAGGUUUAUGAUUUUCUGACCCGACCUGUAUAUGAUCCGAUCCGUUUAUGAUCCGAUCCGAUUGCCAUCCCUAAGUAUGGGCAGUCAUCAAAUUAUAAAAGAAGAAUUUAUUUUUCUUUGCCUUCAUCAUGAUCUCUCUGCAGGCAAGAACUCUUUGCCUUUUACAUUCAUUGCUUCUCCUUAUCUCUAAAUACUUCCGAUAGCAUUAUUUAUAAACUGGGUUUUGAAGACCAAAGGCCCCUUCAGUUAUUUACAUUCACAUUAAACAUGUCAAACGCCUAGAAUUUUAUAAUCAAAUGCAUAUGGGUCUCUAUGAACUAAUUAAUUGCAACUGUAAUGGAUAGUAAUAAAAUAUUUCCUAAGAUUGCAUUUGGAUUGGAAAAAAAAGUAAAAUAGCAAAUGUUAUGCAUGUAGGAAUAGUUACGUUGUAAUAACUUUUCGGUUGGCUCCAUUAUUUGGAAUGACUUUUUGGAUAAUAAUUGUUUAUCCAUAAAAAUUGUAAAAAGUAGCCAUUAAUGCUUCCUUUAUACCAAAGAACAGCUCAUGGCAGCUACCCCUUGGAAUACCUAUAGCUAUCAUAAGGUAGUUUGACCGGCAUAACUAUUACUUGGUUGUGCAUGCCUCUUUCUCAAAUAUUAUUUGGCAGGCAUAAGGUUUAUUCCAAGUUUUAUGCCUAUUUUAUUCUUUAGUCAAAUUUAGCCUAAAAGUUGCCAAGUUAUUAGCGAUUUGAAAUAUCUACAUAAUUUUAUCUUCUCAAUCCCAAAAAUCUUCUCAAGUUUCAAGCAAAUCCUUCUAUUUUUUUAAAAUUUUUAUAUUUGUAUACAUAAAAUCAAA
rnacentral:lncRNA from 1 species